rnacentral:ribozyme from 5 species
UUUUUUUUUUUUUUUUUUUUUUUUUUUUUUUU